rnacentral:lncRNA from 1 species
CAGGACCCUUUGGAGUCAUCCAUUCAUGACAGGUGGACGUUAAGAUGAGGGCCCCAACUCAGACCACGAGAUGAGCAGAAGAAAGCAAGGCUCGACUCAGGUUAAUUAACUUGCUCACAUCACAUACCAGUGAGAGGAACUAAGAAAUGGAAUAUUACUCAUCAACUUAGAUCAAGGAUGUAGCGCAGUGGUGCCAGGCCUGCCUGAUAAGCUCAAGGUCCUGAGUUCAACCCCUGGUUCCACAAAGAAAGAAAGAAAAAAAGAAAGAAAGAAAGAAAGAAAGAAAGAAAGAAAGAAAGAAAGAAAGAAAGAAAGGAAAAAAAAAAGGAAAUUACUCAUCAACUUCAAAAGCCCUCGCCUGCAGCUUCUUGAAGAACGAAGCUUAGGGGAAACCCAGGAGAAGCACUGUGGCCUAGAAGAAUGGAUUCAGAAAGGAAGCAAGGGCCAAAUGUAAUGUUUUCCUAGGAAACUGGAAACGCAACUGAACCAAGAGAGUGAGCUAAAAGAACCUUAAAUUGUUCCCAACGGGCAACUAUGGUACAGGUAAGUGAAAAAUUGGACAGACAUUGAAGACAUCAUAUUUCUUUCAUGCUACCAAUUGAAGAAGCGGAAG